GAGGGGUGGCCGAGUGGUUUAAGGCACCAGUCUUGAAAACUGGCGAUUCCGCAAGGGACCGUGGGUUCGAAUCCCACCUCCUCC
rnacentral:tRNA from 1 species